rnacentral:rRNA from 1 species
GACGAACGCUGGCGGCGUGCUUAACACAUGCAAGUCGAACGGAAAGGCCCUGCUUUCAGUGUACUCGAGUGGCGAACGGGUGAGUAACACGUGGGUGAUCUGCCCUGCUCUUCGGGUUAAGCCUGUGCAACUGGGUCUAAUACCGGCUAGGUGCCAUUUUUAGUGUGAUGGUUGGAAAGUUUUUUCGGUGUAGGAUGAGCUCGCUGCCUAUCAGCUUGUUGGUGGGGUAAUGUCCUACCAAGGCGGCUACGGGUAGCCGGCCUGAGAGGGUGGACGGCCACAUAGGGACUGAGAGAAGGCACAGACUGCUAAGGGAGGCAGAAGUGGGGAAUAUUGCACAAUGGGCGCAAGGCUGAUGCAGCGAGGCCGCGUGGGGGAUGACGGCCUUCGGGUUGUAAACUACAUUCGCUAGGGACGAAGCAUUUUGUGACGGUACCUAGAUAAGAAGCACCGGCUAACUACGUG